UGGGCAACCUGCCCCUGACACUGGGAUAACCCCGGGAAACCGGAGCUAAUACCGGAUACUCCGGCUGGAUCGCAUGGUCCGGCCGGGAAAGGUCCGCCGGAGAGGGAUGGGCCCGCGGCCUAUCAGCUUGUUGGUGAGGUAACGGCCCACCAAGGCGACGACGGGUAGCCGGCCUGAGAGGGCGACCGGCCACACUGGGACUGAGACACGGCCCAGACUCCUACGGGAGGCA
rnacentral:rRNA from 1 species